ACUACGGGUGGCAGCAGUAGGGAAUAUUGCUCAAUGGGGGAAACCCUGAAGCAGCAACGCCGCGUGGAGGAUGAAGGUCUUCGGAUUGUAAACUCCUUUUGUUAGAGAAGAUAAUGACGGUAUCUAACGAAUAAGCACCGGCUAACUCCGUGCCAGCAGCCGCGGUCAUACGGAGGGUGCAAGCGUUACGUGGAAUCACUGGGCGGAACGUGCGUGUAGGCGGGAGAGCAAGUCAGAUGUGAAGUCCUUGGGCUUAACCAUAGAACUGCAUUUGACACUGUUAUUCUAGAGUAUGGGAGAGGUUGGUGGAAUUCUUGGUGUAGGAGUAAAAUCCGUAGAGAUCAAGAGGAACACUCAUUGCGAAGGCGAGCUGCUAGAACAUAACUGACGCGGAUGCGCGAAAGCGUGGGGAGCAAACAGGAUUAGAUACCCGUGUAGUC
rnacentral:rRNA from 1 species